rnacentral:rRNA from 1 species
CAAGUCGAACGGGGUGAGGGGGCAACUCCUCAUUCAGUGGCGAACGGGUGAGUAAUGCAUCGGAACGUGUCCCGUAGUGGGGGAUAACGCCGCGAAAGCGGCGCUAAUACCGCAUAUGCUCUACGUAGGAAAGCAGGGGAUCCGCGAGGGCCUUGUGCUAGGGGAGCGGCCGAUGUCCGAUUAGGUAGUUGGUGGGGUAAUGGCCCACCAAGCCUGCGAUCGGUAGCUGGUCUGAGAGGAUGAUCAGCCACACUGGGACUGAGACACGGCCCAGACUCCUACGGGAGGCAGCAGUGGGGAAUUUUGGACAAUGGGGGCAACCCUGAUCCAGCCAUGCCGCGUGCGGGAAGAAGGCCUUCGGGUUGUAAACCGCUUUUAGCCGGGAAGAAAAGGGCACGGAUAACACCCGUGUUUUUUGACGGUACCGGCGGAAUAAGCACCGGCUAACUACGUGCCAGCAGCCGCGGUAAUACGUAGGGUGCGAGCGUUAAUCGGAAUUACUGGGCGUAAAGCGUGCGCAGGCGGUUCGUUGUGUCGGCGGUGAAAGCCCCGGGCUCAACCUGGGAAUGGCCGUUGAAACUGGCGAACUGGAGUGUGGCAGAGGGGGGUGGAAUUCC